ensembl:misc_RNA 7SK 7SK RNA
GGAUGUUAGGGCGAUCUGGCUGCGACACCUGUCACCCCAUUGAUCGCCAGAGUUGAUUCAGCUGAUCUGGCUGGCUAGGUGGGUGUCCCCUUCCUCCCUCACCACUCCAUGUGCGUCCCUCCUUAAGCUGUGUGCUCGGUCAAAGAGGAAGGCCUUCCUUGAACAGAGACGGACCGGUCUUCGUCUUCGGUCGAGGGUAUACGAGUAGCUACGCUCCCCUGCUAGAAUAUCCAAACAAGCUCUCAAGGAAAGCACAUACCUUGCCAAACUAGAGGGAGAUGGUAAGUCAAAAAGCCAGG